GAUUCUGGCUCAGGACGAACGCUGGCGGCGUGCCUAACACAUGCAAGUCGAGCGGAGAAUGCGGACAUGUUUACAUAGAAGCAUCUUAGCGGCGGACGGGUGAGUAACACGUGGGUAACCUGCCUCAAAGAGGGGGAUAGCCUUCCGAAAGGAAGAUUAAUACCGCAUAAGCCUGCAGUACCGCAUGGUACAGCAGGAAAAGGAGCAAUCCGCUUUGAGAUGGACCCGCGGCGCAUUAGCUAGUUGGUGAGGUAACGGCUCACCAAGGCGACGAUGCGUAGCCGACCUGAGAGGGUGAUCGGCCACAUUGGAACUGAGACACGGUCCAGACUCCUACGGGAGGCAGCAGCGGGGAAUAUUGCACAAUGGGCGAAAGCCUGAUGCCAGCAACGCCGCGUGAAUGAUGAAGGCCUUCGGGUCGUAAAGUUCUUUGAUCAGGGAUGAUAAUGACAGUACCUGAAAAACAAGCCACGGCUAACUACGUGCCAGCAGCCGC
rnacentral:rRNA from 1 species